GAUAACAAAAUGACAGUACAACGUUUAAACACUUAAAAGUGUUUAAACGUUGUACUGUCAUUUUGUUAUCU